rnacentral:lncRNA from 1 species
UCCAAUUAGUCUAGGUAAGUUGAUUCGUAUUCCAGUCAACUAGGUCUAUAAAUAGAUUAAAUAGAAUUGUGUCUCAAAAAAUGUUAUUCAUUUAGCAUGCGUAUAUUGUGAUGAUCGAUUUAGAUAAAUCGGUAAAUCAAGUUAAUUAAGAUACAUAGUUAAAGAGUUAAUAAAAAGCUAGAAAUAAAAAUAGAUGUUCUAGUGUUAUUAUAUCAAUUUGGUUAAUGGAUGUAGUCGCUGCCCUGCUGUGAUAUCCAUGAUGCUUACUGCUUGGUUUUAAGUGUUUCAUCCUUUUUAGCGUAGAUUAUUUAUCUCGUACUAUGUAUACUUGUAAUCAUACAUGUGCAUCGUGCAUUUCAUGAGGUACGAUAAUUAAUCGCGUGAUGCGGAAGAAGACCCAAGUCGACCCCAGGCGCAGACUAAUUUGCAAGAUGAUGCUGGUGGAUUAACCUGAAGAUGGAUAAUCAGAACAAUGUGAAGCCAAAGGAUACUCGCCAAGUGGACGUCACCUAACAACACUAAACUAGUGUUAUUCAGGCAAGCCCCGGUGCAUUUGCCACCUCCUUGUGUUUUAAAAUCUUUAUCACCUUGUUUGAUGUAUUAGGUGAUAGGAGUUGUGUGCUAAACCGUUG